rnacentral:rRNA from 1 species
CCUACGGGAGGCAGCAGUGAGGAAUAUUGGUCAAUGGGCGCGAGCCUGAACCAGCCAAGUAGCGUGAAGGAUGACUGCCCUACGGGUUGUAAACUUCUUUUAUAAAGGAAUAAAGUGAGGCACGUGUGCCUUUUUGUAUGUACUUUAUGAAUAAGGAUCGGCUAACUCCGUGCCAGCAGCCGCGGUAAUACGGAGGAUCCGAGCGUUAUCCGGAUUUAUUGGGUUUAAAGGGAGCGUAGAUGGGUUGUUAAGUCAGUUGUGAAAGUUUGCGGCUCAACCGUAAAAGUGCAAUUGAUACUGGCAGCCUUGAGUACAGUUGAGGUAGGCGGAAUUCGUGGUGUAGCGGUGAAAGGCUUAGAUAUCACACAGAACACCGAUUGCGAAGGCAUCUCACGAAUCCGCGAUUGACGCUGAUGCACGAAAGCGUGGGUAUCAAACAGGAUUAGAUACCCUUGUAGUC